rnacentral:rRNA from 1 species
GACGAACGCUGGCGGCGUGCUUAACACAUGCAAGUCGAACGGAAAGGCCCCUCUGGGGGUACUUGCGUGGCGAACGGGCGAGUAACACGCGAGUAACCUGCCCUCGACUUCGGGUUAACUUCCGGCAACUGGGUCUAAUACAGGCCAGGAAUCCGUGCCGCAUGGUGGGGGUUGGAAAGCUUCGGGGGUUUUGGAUGGACUUGCGGCUUAUCAGUUUGUUGGUGGGGUAGUGGGUUGCCAAGGCUUUCUUGGGUAGCCGGCCUGGGAGGGCGGCCGGCCACAUUGGGACUGGGAUACGGCCCAGACUCCUACGGGAGGCAGCAGUGGGGGAUAUUGCACAAUGGGCGGGAGCCUGAUGCAGCAACGCCGCGUGCGGGAUGACGGCCUUCGGGUUGUAAACCGCUUUCAGCAGGGGCGAAGCUUGUAGUGACGGUACCUGCAAAAGAAGCACCGGCUAACUACGUG